CCUACGGGUGGCAGCAGUGAGGACUAUUGGUCAAUGGGCGAGAGCCUGAACCAGCCAAUUCGCUUGAGGGACUACUGCCCUAUGUGUUGCAAACCUCUUUUGUCGGGGAGCAAAAGCCGGACGUGUCCGGCUGUGAGAGUACCCGAAGAAAAAGCAUCGGCUAACGCCGUGCCCGCAGCCGCGGUAAUACGGAGGAUGCGAGCGUUAUCGGGCUUUAUUGGGUUUAAAGGGUGAGCAGGCGGCUUUUUAAGUCAGCGGUAAAAUCUUGGGGCUCAACCCCAUCCAGCCGUUGAAACUGGGGAUCUAGAGAGUGCGAGAGGUAUGCGGAAUGCGUGGUGUAGCGGUGAAAUGCAUAGAUAUCACGCAGAACCCCGAUUGCGAAGGCAGCAUACCGGUGCACAACUGACGCUCAGGCACGAAAGCGUGGGUAUCGAACAGGAUUAGAGACCCGAGUAGUC
rnacentral:rRNA from 1 species